GCCAUCUAUGUCCUUUGUUGA
rnacentral:misc_RNA from 1 species